rnacentral:rRNA from 1 species
GACGAACGCUGGCGGCGUGCCUAAUACAUGCAAGUCGAGCGAAGUUUUUCUGGUGCUUGCACUAGAAAAACUUAGCGGCGAACGGGUGAGUAACACGUAAAGAACCUGCCUCAUAGACUGGGUCAACUAUUGGAAACGAUAGCUAAUACCGGAUAACAGCAUUAACUGCAUGGUUGAUGUUUAAAAGUUGGUUUUGCUAACACUAUGAGAUGGCUUUGCGGUGCAUUAGCUAGUUGGUGGGGUAAAGGCCUACCAAGGCGACGAUGCAUAGCCGACCUGAGAGGGUGAUCGGCCACACUGGGACUGAGACACGGCCCAGACUCCUACGGGAGGCAGCAGUAGGGAAUCUUCCGCAAUGGGCGAAAGCCUGACGGAGCAACGCCGCGUGAGUGAAGAAGGAUUUCGGUUCGUAAAGCUCUGUUGUUAGGGAAGAAUGAUUGUGUAGUAACUAUACACAGUAGAGACGGUACCUAACCAGAAAGCCACGGCUAACUACGUG